GCGGAUGUAGUGUAGUGGCAGCACGAUUUUAUAUGUAUUCAUACGAUUUUUACACUUAACUGUUGCGUGGCAAUGAGUUACUUCGACUUCAAAUCAGUAGGCUUAGGUUCGAUUCCUGACUUCCGCU
rnacentral:tRNA from 1 species